rnacentral:rRNA from 1 species
ACUGAACGCUGGCGGCAUGCCUUACACAUGCAAGUCGAACGGUAACAGGUCUUCGGAUGCUGACGAGUGGCGAACGGGUGAGUAAUACAUCGGAACGUGCCCAGACGUGGGGGAUAACGAGGCGAAAGCUUUGCUAAUACCGCAUACGAUCUAAGGAUGAAAGCAGGGGACCGCAAGGCCUUGUGCGUUUGGAGCGGCCGAUGGCAGAUUAGGUAGUUGGUGGGAUAAAAGCUUACCAAGCCGACGAUCUGUAGCUGGUCUGAGAGGACGACCAGCCACACUGGGACUGAGACACGGCCCAGACUCCUACGGGAGGCAGCAGUGGGGAAUUUUGGACAAUGGGCGAAAGCCUGAUCCAGCAAUGCCGCGUGCAGGAUGAAGGCCUUCGGGUUGUAAACUGCUUUUGUACGGAACGAAAAGGCUCUGGCUAAUACCUGGGGCACAUGACGGUACCGUAAGAAUAAGCACCGGCUAACUACGUG